AGAGUUUGAUCAGUGGCUCAGGAUGAACGCUGGCGGCGUGCCUAACACAUGCAAGUCGAGCGAUUCUCUUCGGAGAAGAGCGGCGGACGGGUGAGUAACGCGUGGGUAACCUGCCCUGUACACACGGAUAACAUACCGAAAGGUAUGCUAAUACGAGAUAAUAUACUUUUAUCGCAUGGUAGAAGUAUCAAAGCUUUUGCGGUACAGGAUGGACCCGCGUCUGAUUAGCUAGUUGGUAAGGUAACGGCUUACCAAGGCGACGAUCAGUAGCCGACCUGAGAGGGUGAUCGGCCACAUUGGAACUGAGACACGGUCCAAACUCCUACGGGAGGCAGCAGUGGGGAAUAUUGCACAAUGGGCGAAAGCCUGAUGCAGCAACGCCGCGUGAGCGAUGAAGGCCUUCGGGUCGUAAAGCUCUGUCCUCAAGGAAGAUAAUGACGGUACUUGAGGAGGAAGCCCCGGCUAACUACGUG
rnacentral:rRNA from 1 species